GGGCAUCUACGUGGGAACCUGAUGAGCUGAGGACCGCGCCCAGCCAGGCGAAGGCACAGGCAGUGCCACGGACCAGGAACACGGGGACAGCGCCUACUCUCCCAAAGGGCAGUGUACACAGAGCCUUCUGAUCGUACUGUACUACUGGGAACUAGAUGAUAGAUGCAAGAGUACAGGGCAGCUAGGCUCUGUGCUGUUGGAACGGGAUGAGCUAUGCUAUUGGAAGCUUACGGUCCAGCAGGGGUCUGAGGCGUUGAAACAGCGUUAAGAGGACCCUGAAGCGACUCCCUGACUAGCAUUUCUCAGCUGGUUCUCUGGACAGAAGCGACGACGUAUUUACAAGGAGACCCCACGUGUCUCAGGAGUUGGACAAACAGGAAGCAGGGGAGAAGAGCAGGUGCACAGAUCGGAGCGGACCAGAACGAAGACGAGACAGAAGGGGCUGCUUGUCAUUAUUGCGUGGGUCUCGAGUGUCACCAAGGCCCGCAUGUGGGUGGCUCGGAGAGGAUGGCACUUCUGAGCGACAGUGGAGCCUUCCAGCCAGGGUCUGCCCCGGAAGGACAUCGUGCAUGGAGCCCCAGCCCUUCCUCUCCCAUCCGCUUCCUGGCCUUGGUGAGGGUUCAGUCUGUCCCAAUAUUGCAGAUAAGAAAAUUAAUUAGGUAUCUUGUAGGCAGUUAGACAAGGCCAGCCCAAGAGCAGCCAACACGAAAGACAAGCGACACACAUUCACUGAAGACCAGCGUUGUAGAAGAAGAGACACUACCACA